rnacentral:misc_RNA from 1 species
GUUUUACUAGCGCUUUCAGAAGAAAAAACUUUACUGGCCUUACUUUAGCCUUAAACCCUAAAAUUGCAAGAGCAGUAGGCUAUAAAUAGCCUCCAUUUUGAUCCCGCCGGUGCUACUGAGACUCUUCAGUUACUAGCUCUAACUGAGUCGCCAAGAGGAUCCGAUACAAUAUGCUUGAGGAAUUCCCUCUGUGAAUCGAAUCGUUCAGGUUUCCUUCACCUUAUCCGAUUCAAAAAUGGGUAAUUUACUGUCACAUUGUCUGAAUCUAUGUUUUUGCAUUUAACAACUGAUCAAUUUUUCCUUUUUAAUUUUAAUAUUAUGUCGAUUGACAUGGAAAUGAUGGCUAAAAGUAAAAGGUCUGAGCAGUGAGAUUAAUGGUGGUAGUAAUGGAUGCGAAGGUGAAAGUAUCGGAAGGGAGAGGGCCCUUGUCCUUGUUUGAGUAAUUGCAUUGUGACUGUCGCAACCUCUUCUACAUCAAAUAUGCCAUUGCAUGAGCAUUGGCGAUGGGUUGAAAUAAAAGGCGUGGGUUGCGUUCUACUAUUGAAUGCUAACCUAGACUUCUCCCAACAUUUACUUUAAGCAUCCAUUUGCUGCCAACAUGCUUCCUGCGUUGAUCAAACCUUGUAUGCUGAUCCAUGAUCUAUCCACAUUCUCUAUCAGUUUUUCUUCUUCGUAUAUAUUUGCGUAUAUGUGUGUUUGCCAACUGCAUAAAUAAUUGACACUCUCCUUCUCUCUUAGAAUGUGUGUCCAAUGGCAAAUUAAUUGAUGACCAUUGUGUGAAAUCCCUAAAGCAAAUCUAAAUGCAAAAUCAUGAAGGAAAAAGUCCAAAAAUGCUUCGAACUGAAAAUUGAAGCAAGGUCAUAUAGUAGAGAGUAAGAGAAAAUAGAGAGGCUGGAGGUCAACUGGUAUUAGAAAUUUUGAGGUAUUUACUAAGUGUAGAACUAGGAAGUAAUGAAAUCACAGGAAUAUUGCUAACCAAAGUCACAUAAUUUGGUGAUACUUCUCACAUUUGCAUUUCAAGAAUCAUCUACCGUUCACAGAAUAAGUCAAGUUUAUCAAGCUGUAAUUUUUUUGCCAGAAGAAUUACCCGAAACAAACUACCAAAGCAAAUAAAAGAUACCCAGAAGGCAGAGAGAUAGAAAGAUAAGGAAAGUAAACUGGCCUUGUGAUGCUUGAUGGUUUGAGGCAAUUCUUUUGUUCACUCAUUUAAGUAUAUUUGCAUCUCAGAAUGGAUGCUAGAUGCUAGCUAGCUAGUUGCCACUAAAAGGGCCAGUGAAUUAAAGAGAUGCAUCUAAAUAAAGCUUACCUUUUUCUCAAUGGUCAGGUUUAUGUUUUCCUUAUAUAGUCCUUUUGAGUAAAUAAUUUUGUUUAUUAUUUAAAUAAUUAUCCUUUAUUAUCCUGAGCGUGAGAAGUAUUUAAUGAAUGAAAGCUUUAUGUUUAAAAAGACAAACUGGUUGUUGAUGGAUUCUUGCCCUAGAAACAUGACUUAUUUAGUUACAAAUAGAACCAAAUUAAAAUCAAAAACAAAAACUGAGAACUCCUGAAGCACUAUCCUUGUGGGUUUAAAAUUGAUACAGGAGUAACAGGACAGAAUUCAAGGAAUAAAUAAAUGGAUGCUGACCUCUUCAAGGAGGAAGUGGAAGAUUGGGGUAGAGAUAGAGAUGUGUGUCAGAGGCCAGGAAGGUAGGAUGCAGGUGCCGGGUGGAGGAGAGGUAAUGCUUGAUCGACUGGAAGGUGGAGAGAGUAGUAAAGCAAAGACUUAGGGUUUGAGUUAGGACUAUUUGGGUGUUGACAUUGAGGCCUGUGAGGUUGAGAAGCUUUGCAAAAGAGGACAGUUUUUUUGGACAAUAGAGAGAGAGACAGUGACAUGUGGUGUCUUUCUCACUGUGCCAACUUCCUUAUAGUGCGGGCUGCAAUGGGUUCAGAAAAAGAAAAGGUUGGAGCUUGGGGGCCAAUAUACUUUUAUCUAAACAGUUCAUGUGCAUAUUUAUAUAUAAUAUAUGUCAGAUUCCUCUCUGUUUGUAUUUAUAGCUUUCAAGUACUUUACAAUAAGGUUAUGUUCAUUUUUAGUUGCAUUGCCUUGACUUUGGACAACUGCUGAAACUUA